rnacentral:rRNA from 1 species
AAUCUUGCACAAUGGGGGAAACCCUGAUGCAGCGACGCCGCGUGAGUGAAGAAGUAUUUCGGUAUGUAAAGCUCUAUCAGCAGGGACGAUAAUGACGGUACCUGACUAAGAAGCCCCGGCUAACUACGUGCCAGCAGCCGCGGUAAUACGUAGGGGGCAAGCGUUAUCCGGAUUUACUGGGUGUAAAGGGAGCGUAGGUGGCAUGGUAAGUCAGAUGUGAAAACACGGAGCUUAACUCCGGGUGGGCAUUUGAAUCGGCCUUGCUAGAGUGCAGGGGAGGUAAGUGGAAUGCCUAGUGUAGCGGUGAAAUGCGUAGAUAUUAGGAGGAACAGCGGUGGCGAAGGCGGCUUACUGGACUGUAACUGACACUGAGGCUCGAAAGCGUGGGGAGCAAACA